UGGGGAAUUGUUCGCAAUGGGCGCAAGCCUGACGACGCAACGCCGCGUGGAGGACGAAGACCUUCGGGUCGUAAACUCCUUUCGAUCGAGACGAAUGGCCUCGGGAUGAAUAACCCCGAGGAGUGACGGUACCGAGAGAAGAAGCCCCGGCUAACUCCGUGCCAGCAGCCGCGGUAAUACGGGGGGGGCAAGCGUUGUUCGGAAUUACUGGGCGUAAAGGGCUCGUAGGCGGCCAACUAAGUCAGACGUGAAAUCCCUCGGCUUAACCGGGGAACUGCGUCUGAUACUGGAUGGCUUGAGAUUGGGAGAGGGAUGCGGAAUUCCAGGUGUAGCGGUGAAAUGCGUAGAUAUCUGGAGGAACACCGGUGGCGAAGGCGGCAUCCUGGACCAACACUGACGCUGAGGAGCGAAAGCCAGGGGAGCAAACGGG
rnacentral:rRNA from 1 species